rfam:Pteropus alecto contig12903, whole genome shotgun sequence.
GGUUCCAUAGUGUAGCGGUUAGUAUGUCUGCUUUACACACAGAAGGUCCGGGGUUCAUGCCCAAGUGGAGCCA